AUGCGGAGUUAAAAAUGUUCCUUAUUAGAAUAUAUUAAUUAGAUUGAUGAGUUACGUUAUGCGGAGUCGCAUUUAUUAUACAAAAUUACUACAGGAACACUCAAGUUUAAAGGCCGAUAUAGGUCGAAAACAAAUAAGAGUAGAGAGAGAGAGAGAGAGAUGAUGUGUUAAAUUAAGCAUAUCUAAACCGUAACAAAACGAUUUUCGUGCAUAGAAAAAUUAGUUACGUUAAAGUGGUAACAGAUGCGCUCUACUAUGCCAAUACGCUAAUGACACGAUGUGCAUUCAGACGGAGAAAAUUCAGGUAAAAGUGUCUUGCUAAAAUUAUGAAGAUAAUCAAAUUGAAGGUUUGUUUUUUUUUCGUAUUGUGAAUAUCACUCUUAAACGAAUUGAAGAAUUAGUUAUGUUAUCUGUAGUUGUUAGGAUGAUGGCUAUCGCUAGCAGAGCGUCAUUAAAGCGAUUGAUGUAGCUGAUUCUGUUACAAGAAAUCUGCAUUCAACCACAAAUGCUACCAGUGUUUCUUGACAACUGAAAUUCCGUCAUUCGUUAAAUAAAACGAGCAUAAUAAUCACGCAUCAUCCAGUACCAUAGGAAUCUACAUUGUCAGCUGAUCCAUAGAUAAGUAUGUUUUUUAGGCUUUCAAAUUUGGUGAGGAAAAAAAUUCAAUUACGCGUAAAAUUCUAACAUUCGUACGGUUUAAUAAUGCGAAAAUUUUCGGAAAUUAUAAUUUAACAAACGGAAGAUAUCCGCUUGGAAAAACAGCCAUGAUAUCCAUACAGCUUGGCUACGAAUUUCAUCACGAUGCCAUGCUUCAUUCAAGAAUUUCAACCUCGCCAUGCCGUGUCUUAUAUAUAUAUGGCGAAAGAGGCGUGGGAUUGCGAAUGUCUCAUCAAUGUGUUAUUCUUGCCUUUCAAAAACAAGAAAUCCCAUUACAAGAAAACAAUUGUCUUCGUGCAGAGGAUAGAAGAGAUACGACAUAUUGCAUGAUAUGAGGAGGAGUUUCGCAUUCCGCAUUAUUCCUUCACAAAAUUCUCCAACAAUGUAUCAUUUUUUAAGCAGUUUUUCUUAAUAUUCUUUCCAUUUUUAGCUCAAUACUUAAUGACUCGUAGUCUAUGGAGUAGUGUUCAAUAACCUGUGCCAACUUAUUAUUUUCUCGUUAGGUUCUGAUUAUUGAAUUUUAUGAAUUAAUUUUUCCAGCAUAACUUCCCAUAGUUUAGAUACGGUUUGAUUCCAUUUGUUCUUCCAUAAUGUAUGUCAUUUAUCUUUAAAAGCG
rnacentral:lncRNA from 1 species